CACGUAGGGCGCGAGCGUUGUCCGGAUUUAUUGGGCGUAAAGAGCUCGUAGGCGGUCUGUCGCGUCGGAUGUGAAAACCCAGGGCUCAACCCUGGGCCUGCAUUCGAUACGGGCAGACUAGAGUACGGCAGGGGAGACUGGAAUUCCUGGUGUAGCGGUGAAAUGCGCAGAUAUCAGGAGGAACACCGGUGGCGAAGGCGGGUCUCUGGGCCGUAACUGACGCUGAGAUGCGAAAGCUCGGGGAGCGAACGGG
rnacentral:rRNA from 1 species